rnacentral:rRNA from 1 species
CCUACGGGUGGCAGCAGUGGGGAAUAUUGCACAAUGGGGGAAACCCUGAUGCAGCGACGCCGCGUGAGUGAAGAAGUAUUUCGGUCUGUAAAGCUCUAUCAGCAGUGAAGAAUAUGACGGUACCUGAUUACGAAGCCCCUGCUAACUACGUGCCAGCAGCCGCGGUAAUACGUAGGGGGCAAGCGUUAUCCUGAUUUACUGGGUGUAAAGGGAGCGUAGACGGCAGCACAAGUCUGGAGUGAAAGGCCGGGGCUUAACCCCGGAACUGCUGUGGAAACUGUGCAGCUAGAGUGCAGGAGAGGUAAGUGGAAUGCCUAGUGUAGCGGUGAAAUGCGUAGAUAUUAGGAGGAACACCAGUGGCGAAGGCGGGUUGCGAGACUGUAACUGACACUGAGGCACGAAAGCGUGGGGAGCAAACAGGAUUAGAUACCCUUGUAGUC